rnacentral:rRNA from 1 species
CUAACACAUGCAGUCGACGGGUACAGUGUCUCUUUCGAGAUGCUGACGACCGGCGCACGGGUGAGUUACGCGUAUGCAACCUGCCCAUAGCUGGAGAAUAGGCCGAAGAAAUUCGGAUUAAUACUCCAUAAUAUUUCAAAUUCGCAUGUUUUUGAAAUUAAAAUUCCGAUGGCUAUGGAUGGGCAUGCGUGCCAUUAGCUUGUUGGUGAGGUAACGGCUCACCAAGGCUACGAUGGCUAGGGGUUCUGAGAGGAUGAUCCCCCACACUGGUACUGAGACACGGACCAGACUCCUACGGGAGGCAGCAGUGAGGAAUAUUGGUCAAUGGGCGCAAGCCUGAACCAGCCAUGCCGCGUGCAGGAUGACUGCCCUAUGGGUUGUAAACUGCUUUUGUACAGGAAGAACCUUCUGCUCGUGAGCGGAAUUGACGGUACUGUACGAAUAAGCAUCGGCUAACUCCGUGCCAGCAGCCGCGGUAAUACGGAGGAUGCAAGCGUUAUCCGGAUUCACUGGGUUUAAAGGGUGCGUAGGCGGGAUAGUAAGUCGAUGGUGAAAGCCCGCAGCUUAACUGUAGAAUUGCCAUUGAUACUGCUAUUCUUGAGUGCAGUUGAAGUAAGCGGAAUGUGUAAUGUAGCGGUGAAAUGCAUAGAUAUUACACAGAACACCAAUUGUGAAGGCAGCUUACUUAAGCUGAAACUGACGCUGAGGCACGAAAGCGUGGGGAGCGAACAGGAUUAGAUACCCUGGUAGUCCACGCUGUAAACUAUGAUCACUCGCUGUUGGCGAUACACUGUCAGCGGCUAAGCGAAAGCAUUAAGUGAUCCACCUGGGGAGUACGUCCGCAAGGAUGAAACUCAAAGGAAUUGACGGGGGCCCGCACAAGCGGAGGAACAUGUGGUUUAAUUCGAUGAUACGCGAGGAGCCUUACCUGGGCUUAAAUGCAGAACGACCGGUCGGGAAACUGACCUUCCUUCGGGCGAACUGCAAGGUGCUGCAUGGUUGUCGUCAGCUCGUGCCGUGAGGUGUCGGGUUAAGUCCCAUAACGAGCGCAACCCCUAUUGUUAGUUACCAGCGAGUAAUGUCGGGGACUAUAACGAAACUGCCGGUGUAAACCGUGAGGAAGGUGGGGAUGACGUCAAAUCAGCACGGCCCUUAUGUCCAGGGCUACACACGUGUUACAAUGGCCAGUACAAAGGGCAGCUACCACGCGAGUGGAUGCUAAUCUCUAAAGCUGGUCUCAGUUCGGAUUGAAGUCUGCAACUCGACUUCAUGAAGGUGGAUUCGCUAGUAAUCGCGCAUCAGCAAUGGCGCGGUGAAUACGUUCCCGGGCAUUGACACACCGCCCGUCAAGCCAUGGGAGUCGG